CGGACACAAAGAACUGGUUAAUUUCUUCCUUGCGAUCAAAGGCUCUGACCUUCCCACACACGGGGACACAGAAGCCCCGGAACCGUGAUGACCAGCACUGAAGGUGUCUCCACACAGAAGGUGCACGGCAGCCGACCUUUCCUGUGAAGUGCGGCUUGUGUUCUUCCGACAGCACUGGCUUACGAGGUGCUCAUUACACCUUAGAGGUUCUGAUUCCUUGACGGAACUUUAUUCCAUAGACAAGCUGGGCUCCUCCAUCAAAGACAACGCACAGAACACACGUCAGCCUGAUCAUCUAAUGGCCCACAAAGAACUGUUUAUUUUGCGCUGUCAUCAUCUCCCACGGAGUACGUCAAGUAAUGCUGACUCAGAACGUACCACGGACCUCCCAGAUGUUAAUUCCUUUUCAAGGGAAAAGAAGAAAAUGUUUUUAUCGGAUCCAGGCAGAGACGCUGAUUGUCACUUAUGACAA